ACUGAGUCCCUGAGUGACCUCAGUGUCUCUGUGAAGUGAGGAGGUGGAGCCAGGCCACUGAGCCUCUUCAUCUCUGCCACCACGGACUCUUGCCCUGUGGUUGUAAUGAAUGAUUCCAGGGACACCAGGAAAAGGUGGGCAGGAAGCUGUGGUGCCCUCUCUAUUUUUACACACAGCCACCCUCUGAAGGGGAUUCACGCUGUGAUUUAUUAACUUGUCUGUCUGUGGAGUUGGGUGUCUUGGUGGGAGUCCUGGACUCAGGUACCAUUUAGCAACCUUGAGAGUUCAAAGGGCUCAGCCAUUGGACAUGGUAUGUGGUGGUUUCCCGGUGCAUGCCUGGCUCCACCUCUCCCCUGCUCAAGGAUGCCUGCGUGCUUUGGGCAGGAAAAGCCAAACUUGGUUGCUUUGGCAACAGGGGUCUUGGUGAGAAGCUGGUACACAAGCAGGUGCUUCCAGUGUGCCAGAGAAAGGCACAGGGCCUUCUUCGCCCCGAGUCUUCUUACUUCUCUGAUGGAGCUGAGUCAUGCAUCACCUCUUGUUUAAUGGUGGUGAAAUAUACUCAGGUACUCUGAUACUGUGAAAUAUACAUUUGGUCUUCAUCUCCCUUUCCUGGCAAGAGAUCCUGAAGCCCUGGAAUCUCUAGAGGGAUAUGAGUGUCUUUUGUCUGCUUCUGAGAUGGCUGGUGGCCCCUAAAUAGCCUCAGGAUGGGGGCACAUGCCUUGUUCUGUGGAUCUCUUUCACCUGGAUUAAACUGGUAAAUGUUCAUCUGAUCUUCACAAACUGCUAUUGCUCUCUUGAUGUACAUUAAAGAGAUCUUUAAUUUCUAAAGAAUUAGUUUAGGAAGUCCUCACCAGAGCAAUCAGGCGGGAGAAAAAAAUAAAAGGCAUCCAGAUUGGAAAAGAGGAAGUCAAAUUAUCCCUGUUCAUUGAUGAUAUGAUGUUACAUCUAGAAAACCCUAAAGACUCCACAAAAAAAAAUCCUUAGGUUUGAUAAAUAAAUUCAGUAAAGUUUCAGGAUACAAAAAAAUUAAUGUACAGAAAUCAGUAGUGUUUCUAUACACUGAUAAGAAUCUAGCUGAGGACCAAAUCAAGAAAGCAAUUCCAUUUACAAUAGCUACAACAGCAACAACAACAAAACUAAACAAAACCUAGAAAUAUGCUUUACCAAGGAAAUGAAAGAUCUCUAUAAGGAGGACUACAAAACACUGAUUAAAGAAAUUGUACAAGACUCAAACAAAUAAAGCAUCCCAUGCUCAUGGAUUAGAAGAAUCAAUAUUGUUAAAAUGACCAUACUGCCCAAAGCAAUCCACCGACUCAAUGCAACCCCUAUCAAAUUAUGAAUGUUGUUUUUCAGAGUCAGAAAAAACAAUACCAAAAUUCAUAUGGAAUCAAAAAAGAGCCUGAAUCAUCAAAAAACCUCACCAAAAAGAACAAAGCUGAAGGCAACAUAUUGUCUGACUUCAAAUUAUAUUACAAGGCUGUAGUAACCAAAACAGCAUGGCACUGCUAUAAAAACAGACACAUGGAUCAAUGGAACAGAAUAAAAAGCCUAGAAAUAAAGCCACCCUCUUACAAUCAACUGAUCUUCAACAAAGUUGACAAAAAUAUACACUGGGGAAAGAACAUUCUAUUCAAUAAAUGAUGCUGUGAAAAUUGGAUAGUCAUGCAGAAGAAGGAAACUAGAUGCAUACCUCUCACCAUAUAUAAAAAUUAACUCAAGAUGGAUUGAAGACCUAAACAUAAGUUGAAACUGUAAAAAUCCUAGAAGAAAACCUAUGAAAAACUCUUCUGGACAUUGGCCUAGGCAAAGAAUUUACGACCAGGUCCUCAAACAAACAAAACAACAACAAGAAUAACAAAACCAAAAAUAAAGAAGAUGUAAUUAAACUAAAAACUUCUGCACAGCAGAAGAAACAAUCAACAGAGUAAACAGACAACCUGUAGAAUGGGAAACAAUAUUUGCACACUAUGCAUCUUACAAAGGGCUAAUAUCUAGGAUCUGUAAGGCACUCAAACAACUCAACAAGAAAACCCCAUUAAAAAUUGGGCAAAGGACAUGAGCAGACCUUUUUUGAAAGAAGACAUACAAGCAGCCAACAAACAUAUGAAAACACUGCUCAACAUCACUAAUCAUCAGAGAAAUGCAAAUUAAAACCACAAUGAGACGCCAUCUUACACCAUCAGAAUGGCUAUUAUUAAAAAGUCAAAAAACAACAGAUAUUGGCAAGGAUGUGGAAAAAAGAGUAUACUUACACACUGUUGGUGGGAAUGUAAAUUAGUACAACCUUUAUGGGAAAUAAUAUGGAGAUUUCUUAAAGAACUAAAAAUAGAACUAUCUUUCAAUCCAGCAACUGAGUAUCUACCCAAAGGGAAAGAAAUAAUUAUAUUAAAAUGAUACCUGCACUCAUAUGUUUAUUGUAACACUAUUCACAAUAGGAAAGAUAUGGAAUCAACUUAAGUGUCCAUUAAUGGAGGACUAGAUAAAGAAAAUGUUAUACACACACACACCCACACACACAAACACACCCACACACACCCCACGGAAUACUACUCAGCCAUCAAAAAGAAUGAAAUCAUGUCUUUUGCAGCAACAUACAUGGAACUGGAGGCCAUUACCCUAAGUGAAAUAACUCAAACAGAAAAUCAAAUGCCACAUGUUCUCACUUAUAAGUGAGAGCUGAACAAUGGGUACCCAUGGAUGUAUAGAGUGGAAUAAUAGACACCAAAGGCUACAAAAGGUGGGAAAGUUGGGAGGGGAUUGAGGGAUGGAAAAUUCCUAUUGGGUACAAUGUUCACUAUUCAGGUGAUGGGUACACUAAAAGACCAGGUGUCACCACUAUGCAAUAUAUGUAUAUAAAAA
rnacentral:lncRNA from 1 species